rnacentral:rRNA from 1 species
GUACAUGUCUACAACAUAGUGUUAAUGCACUGGAUUUUAUUAGAACUUCGCAGUUAAGCGUGCUAACUCUGGAGUAGUAUUGGGAUGGAUGAUCCACUGAUCUUUUCAGAGAUAAGUUCU